rnacentral:rRNA from 1 species
CGCAUCUGUGCAUGCAGCAUAUCAAUAAGCGGAGGAAAAGAAACUAACAAGGAUUCCCCUAGUAACGGCGAGUGAAGCGGGAAGAGCUCAAAUUUGAAAUCUUAAAGGGUUUCCCUUUACGAAUUGUAGUUUAAAGAAGUGUUUUCUGUUGAGGUUUUGGUAAAAGUUCUUUGGAAUAGGACAUCAUAGAGGGUGAGAAUCCCGUAUUUGACCUUUACUUUCAACUUUGUGAUACACUUUCAAAGAGUCGGAUUGUUUGGGAAUGCAGUCCAAAAUGGGUGGUAAAUUUCAUCUAAAGCUAAAUAUUGGCGAGAGACCGAUAGCGAACAAGUACCGUGAGGGAAAGAUGAAAAGAACUUUGAAAAGAGAGUUAAACAGUACGUGAAAUUGUCAAAAGGGAAGCGUUUGACACCAGUGUUGUUUUUCUGAAAAUCAAUUAAAGAACUGUUUAUGCUAAGCUGUUUAGACUUUAUCAGCUAACUGUUUAGUUUUGAGCUUUUCUUUAAUGCACUUUUCAGUUAACAAGUCAACAUCAAUUUCUUUUGCUGUAAAAAAGCUAGAGGAAGGUGGCUUGAGAUUCGUCUUAAGUGUUUAUAGCCUCUUGCCUAUGCAGUCGGAGAGAUUGAGGUCUGCAGCGUAGAUCCUUCGGGGCUAAAUGCAUUUGUGCUAAGUUAUAGCAUUUUAUAGACAACUUGUUGACUAUGAUUUGUCUUGUAGCUUACUCGCUUAUGUUAUUUUACCUACGCUUAGGAUGUUGAGCGCAUGUCUCUCUCU